rnacentral:rRNA from 1 species
UACGGAGGAUGCGAGCGUUAUCCGGAUUCAUUGGGUUUAAAGGGUGCGUAGGCGGUUUUUUAAGUCAGUGGUGAAAUCCUGCGGCUCAACCGUAGAACUGCCAUUGAAACUGAAGAACUUGAAUAUAGUUGAGGUAGGCGGAAUGUGCAGUGUAGCGGUGAAAUGCUUAGAUAUUGCACAGAACACCGAUUGCGAAGGCAGCUUACCAAGCUAUUAUUGACGCUGAGGCACGAAAGCGUGGGGAUCGAACAGGAUUAGAUA